rnacentral:rRNA from 1 species
GACGAACGCUGGCGGCGUGCUUAACACAUGCAAGUCGAGCGGUAAGGCCCUUUCGGGGGUACACGAGCGGCGAACGGGUGAGUAACACGUGGGUGACCUGCCUUUAGCUCUGGGAUAAGCCUGGGGAAACUGGGUCUAAUACCGGAUACGACUCCGCGGUGCAUGCUGUGGGGUGGAAAGCCUUGUGCGGCUGGAGAUGGGCCCGCGGCCUAUCAGCUUGUUGGUGGGGUGAUGGCCUACCAAGGCGACGACGGGUAGCCGGCCUGAGAGGGCGACCGGCCACACUGGGACUGAGACACGGCCCAGACUCCUACGGGAGGCAGCAGUGGGGAAUCUUGCGCAAUGGGCGAAAGCCUGACGCAGCGACGCCGCGUGA